rnacentral:rRNA from 1 species
AGUGAACGCUGGCGGUAGGCCUAACACAUGCAAGUCGAACGGCAGCACAGUAAGAGCUUGCUCUUACGGGUGGCGAGUGGCGGACGGGUGAGGAAUACAUCGGAAUCUACUUUUUCGUGGGGGAUAACGUAGGGAAACUUACGCUAAUACCGCAUACGACCUACGGGUGAAAGCAGGGGAUCUUCGGACCUUGCGCGAUUGAAUGAGCCGAUGUCGGAUUAGCUAGUUGGCGGGGUAAAGGCCCACCAAGGCGACGAUCCGUAGCUGGUCUGAGAGGAUGAGCAGCCACACGGGAACUGAGACACGGACCAGACUCCUACGGGAGGCAGCAGUGGGGAAUAUUGGACAAUGGGCGCAAGCCGGAUCCAGCAAUACCGCGUGGGUGAAGAAGGCCUUCGGGUUGUAAAGCCCUUUUGUUGGGAAAGAAAAGCAGCAGGUUAAUACCCCGCUGUUCUGACGGUACCCAAAGAAUAAGCACCGGCUAACUUCGUG